rnacentral:miRNA from 1 species
GCACUGAGCUAGCUCUCCCUCC